rnacentral:rRNA from 1 species
AGUGAACGCUGGCGGUAGGCCUAACACAUGCAAGUCGAACGGCAGCACAGUAAGAGCUUGCUCUUACGGGUGGCGAGUGGCGGACAGGUGAGGAAUACAUCGGAAUCUACUUUUUCGUGGGGGAUAACGUAGGGAAACUUACGCUAAUACCGCAUACGACCUACGGGUGAAAGCAGGGGAUCUUCGGACCUUGCGCGAUUGAAUGAGCCGAUGUCGGAUUAGCUAGUUGGUGGGGUAAAGGCCCACCAAGGCGACGAUCCGUAGCUGGUCUGAGAGGAUGAUCAGCCACACUGGAACUGAGACACGGUCCAGACUCCUACGGGAGGCAGCAGUGGGGAAUAUUGGACGAUGGGCGCAAGCCUGAUCCAGCCAUACCGCGUGGGUGAAGAAGGCCUUCGGGUUGUAAAGCCCUUUUGUUGGGAAAGAAAAGCAGCAGGUUAAUACCCCGCUGUUCUGACGGUACCCAAAGAAUAAGCACCGGCUAACUUCGUG